UGAAGGAAGCCGAUAGCAAACAGCCAGUCCGACGAACAGGAAGCGGAUGCGAGGCGUCUCAAUUGGGAGAGCGAGCCAAAAGUCGUUAACCCGAUACUUCUACGGACACAGUUGAGGCGUAAAUCCGACGGAUAGGGCUAGAAG
rnacentral:ncRNA from 1 species